UGGGGAAUAUUGCGCAAUGGGGGAAACCCUGACGCAGCAACGCCGCGUGGGUGAUGAAGGCCUUCGGGUCGUAAAGCCCUGUCAGCAGGGAAGAAACUCCGGGAUUCGAAUAGGGUCUCGGAUUGACGGUACCUGCGGAGGAAGCACCGGCUAACUCCGUGCCAGCAGCCGCGGUAAAACGGAGGGUGCAAGCGUUGUUCGGAAUUACUGGGCGUAAAGCGCGUGCAGGCGGUUUUCUAAGUUUCGUGUGAAAGCCCACGGCUCAACCGUGGAACGGCACGGAAAACUGGAAGACUUGAAUACGGGAGAAGAGGGCGGAAUUCCCAGUGUAGAGGUGAAAUUCGUAGAUAUUGGGAGGAACACCGGUGGCGAAAGCGGCUCUCUAGACCGAUAUUGACGCUCAUACGCGAGAGCGUGGGUAGCAAACAGGAUUAGAUACCCUAGUAGUCCCUGAGCGGGCUGGCAAGGCGCAU
rnacentral:rRNA from 1 species